UACGUAGGGGGCAAGCGUUGUCCGGAAUCAUUGGGCGUAAAGAGCGUGUAGGCGGCUCGAUAAGUCUGCUGUGAAAGUCCGAGGGCACUCAACCCUGGAAGGCCGGUGGAAACUGUCGGGCUAGAGUCCGGAAGAGGCGAGUGGAAUUCCUGGUGUAGCGGUGAAAUGCGCAGAUAUCAGGAAGAACACCAAUGGCGAAGGCAGCUCUCUGGGACGGUACUGACGCUGAGACGCGAAAGCGUGGGGAGCGAACAGG
rnacentral:rRNA from 1 species